rnacentral:rRNA from 1 species
CCCUUAGAUGUUCUGGGCUGCACACGUGCUACACUGGCAGGUUCAGCGAGCUUCAUGCCCUGAUCUGAAAGGAAUGGGAAAUCUUUUCAAAACCUGCCGUGCUUGGGAUAGAUGUUUGCAAUUAUUCAUCUUCAACGGGGAUUGCCUUGUAAGCGCACGUCAUCAGCGUGCAUUGAAUACGACCCUGUAUUCUGUACACACCGCCCGUCGCUCCUACCGAUUGAAGUUUUCGGUGAGUUGACAGGAGGAUUUUUUUUGAAACUGGUUCGCCAGUGGAUUUUAGAUCCAAAUGCCAACGAAUCGAUGGCUUUAGAGGAAGGAGAAGUCGUAACA